GGCUUUCUACUCCUGUAAAGAGUUAGUCUUGGAACCUUACAGGGGCAGUUCUCCCUGUCUCAUAGAGUCACUAUGAGAAUAUUGACUAUGUCAGCGAGUAUGGUUUUGCUAUCAAGAAUAAUAAAUAGCUUGCUCAUUGGCAAUUGUUCACAAGGUGGGUACAUAAGCUUUACAUAUAUCUACUUUAUUCCGCAAACUUCUCAUUGAAGAUCAAAUGGUGAAGUUUAGCAGAUAAAACGUAAUGCUCAGUGUCACUAAAUUAGCUUAGAACCUUGCUGAGGCGUCCUUCCUGAGGCAUAUUCUUAAAUUGGUGGCCAGCAGCUUGCUACUGUGAUUUAGUCCUAAGGUGCUUAGAAGGAAAUGCUCAAGAAUUGUUUGCUAGCCAUUAGCAACAAUUCUCAGAGAACAUACUUAGUACAAUAACAUGGACUUCAGGAAAUAUCACUGGGUUGGGGGGGGGGUACUUUGCUUGAAGGUGACUAGCUUUGACAUUUUAGAAACUGUGACUAAUCUGUUCUUACUAUUUGUAUGUAGUUUAAAAAUGUGACUCAGAGCAGUGAGUUUUUUAAAAGCACUCAUCCAAAAGCUGGGAAUAAGUGGUGGUGGGUGGUUCUCUCGAUAAUAAUGCUAUACAGAGGUGCUUGCAUCGUAUUUCAUAGUCUUAUUAAACCAAAAUUACUACUUUCAAUGAGAACAGCCUGAAGUUCAGAGGUGUGAUGCCAGAAUGCAUUUUCGUACUGUCGUACUGUUAGGCCCUUGGAACAGAUAGCGGUGCUUUUUCUGAAAGAUGAAAGAAAUGCAGUGGGUUCUCUCCAAGGUUGUAAACCUACGAAGAAUGCAUAACAGUCUCACUUUUCCCCAGUAGACAGCUGCGUGUGACUAGUUUCGGACUUUUAACCUUAACGGGGUUGCAUGUUUAUUGUUAAUCAUUGUCAGCUGCAGUGACAUGAUCUCACAAGUCCUGCAUUUUAUGGUCUUUCCCUAAAUGAUCUUGGACAGGUUUGAGAGAGCCAGGAUGUUUGUUCUGGGCCUUUAUUUGGUUUGGCUUUAGCUGAUAAUGCAGUGUUCUGUCAGCUAGUGCAGUUCUCAAAUGACUGCUAAUUAGGGAAAGAAUUCAAAGGAUUGACUGUUUCUAAUCAUCUGUCAUUGCUGCUAGAUAAUGAUUGGCAAUUUUAAAGACUCAGCUGUGGAAAUCUGUUUGGUAAAGCACCAGCUGUAAAAAGAGUUGCUUUUGAACACCAGUGCUGAGAAGAGAGUUUUUUGGUGGGUAGAAGAGUGGACUGGAGCAUAAUCAGAGUUGGGGAGGAAUGCAAAACGAUAUAGUAUCCCUUAUGGAUGGUGCAUGUGCAACAGGGAACUCUUAAAACAGCGAGGGAGAAGAAAACAGGAGCCAGAAUAAGGUUGAUCUGCUUUUUGUGCACUGUGGCAUGCUAGGCAUAUUAGUGACUAAAAUGUCUUCUCCCUUAAAAAUUUAGAAUCCUUACUACCCUAGUAAGGUGUAGCUUCCUUGCCCCAACUUAAAACUCGGUGAGGACUCGGGGAAGAAGGCGAACUACAGGAUUGCAGGAAAACAACUGCUGCAGUGUUGGGUACUGUAGAGUGGGGAGGGCAUCUUGGUCGACUCCUGUUGCGGUUGGUCAUUCCCGCCUGAGAAUGAAAGAUAUUUGAAAUAGGAAGUAGGAGGGAGGUGUGCCUUUACAUGAAAAGAGAACUGAUGUUGACAUUCAUUUGGUAAGGUAAAGGUUGUCACAUACCUUCACAUAAGGGAUAGUAUAUUUUGGGUUGCAGUUAAAUGUCUGUGCUCAGACUGGUGGAAGGAAUAGUUGGGCAUUUGUAUUUGAGAGAAAACACCGUUUUCAUGCUAAUUUAGGUUUUAGACUCUUUCCCCUGAAGUUGCCUCCUUUUUUUUAAUACUGUAAUUUGUCCCCCAGUCUUUUGUCUUUGGUUUUUUACUCUUUUAAGAUUUUGAAGUUAACUAGCAUUUUCAACCUUUCAUUUUAUGCCUUUGCCUUUUAUUUUAACUUUGUCUUAAUUAUUCUUUAGGUAAGAAUUAUUGGUGUUGGCUGAUAAUGGAAUGCUCGUUUGGUUGAAGUGGAAUAAGACUUUUAUCUCAAGACAACACAGCAUGAGCCAACCAAAAAGAACCACAACUUGUUCAGACUGAUCAAGAGUCUAGGAUCAAGUGAGCUGAGUCCAGAAAACCAGUGAGGAGUGAGCAGAGCAAGGAGGAAUGACCAACCAAUCCUUUUAUCUUUAAUAAAGACAGAUAUUUUGAAA